GACAGAGGGUGCAAACGUUGUUCGGAAUUACUGGGCGUAAAGCGUGUGUAGGCGGUCCUGUAAGUCGGAUGUGAAAGCCCCGGGCUCAACCCGGGAAGUGCACUCGAAACUGCAGGGCUAGAGUAUCGGAGAGGUUGGUGGAAUUCUCGGUGUAGAGGUGAAAUUCGUAGAUAUCGAGAGGAACACCGGCGGCGAAGGCGGCCAACUGGACGAAUACUGACGCUGAGACACGAAAGCGUGGGGAGCAAACAGG
rnacentral:rRNA from 1 species